rnacentral:tRNA from 1 species
AAGGCCUUAGCUUAAUUAAAGUGUCUGGGUUGCAGUCAGGAGAUGUAGGUUAGAGUUCUACAGGCUUUAU